CCAGCAUGUUUAGAAUGGAGCAGGAAGAAACUACAUUUGAAAGGUCAGAAAGUGGAAAGACUAAGAGGGCCUGAACAAUAAGAGGACACAACCAAGAGGAGUUGGCAACUAACUGGAUGUGGGGAUUAAGGAAAGGUAAGCAUCAAAGAUUACCUCCAAGUUUGUUAGAAGGUGAGUAGCAGGAUUCUGAUGCCAUUAAAGUAAAUACAGGUCUCAGUCAAAUGAACCCCAAGUGAAGGGAGCCACAUGUAUUUGCGGGGUAAUUUAUUUGUCUCACGCUUUUACCUGUUAACAUGAUUUUCAGUAAUUUAGAACUUAAGCGAGUAGUGGGGCCACUGUAUAUCUAUCAACAUGGUGAGGUAGAGCACGUUUGGGAGGGAAGAUGUUGAAUCCCAUUUGGUGAUGGUGAGCUUGAGGUGCUGCCAGAACAUUGCACGGAAGAUAGGAGGAGACUGUAGAAAAUGCAAGACAGGAAAGGUCUCCACUUACAUGUUAACUGUUUCUCUCUAAAUGGCCAUCCAGGCCUCAAUGUCUACGGUUCUUGAUCUGUGAUUAUGACAUAUCCAAAUCUUACGUUUCUUAAAAAUAGUCAUAGAUGAAGGGAUCACGGUUGAUAGAUGUAUGGUGACGUUAUUGGCUUAAAUUCUAAAUCACUAGAAACUCUGUAAUAGGCAAAACAGUGAGGCAAAUAAAAUGCUUCUCAAAUAGGUAUGGCUCUUACGGGGUUAAUUUGAUUUGGACAUGUAUUAAUUUCUUAUGGCUGCUAUAACUAACAAAUUACCACAAACUUGGUGGCUUAAAACAACACACAUUUAUUCUCUUUCUGUUCUGGAGGCCAGAAGUCUAAAAUGAGAUUCCCUGGGCUGCAGUUCAUUGGGCAAGGCCAUGCUCCUCUGGAGGCUUCCAUGAUGCUUCCCAUAUUCAGUGUUUCCUGAGGAAGCCCCUCCCAUGCAGGUCUGCAGUUUUACCUCAACAGGCUUUUGCACUCAGUGGCUCUCUUCUGUGGUUUCUAUCUGAAAUUCUCUCCAUUUUUCUAAAAUAACAGCUUUAUUGGGAUAUAAUUCAUAUGCCAUACAAUUCACGCAUACAGUAUACAAUUCAGUAGUGUUUACUAUAUUCAGAGUUGUGCAACCAUCACUUUUCUCACCCCCAAAAGAAACCCUAUACCCAUUAGUAUUCACUCCAUUUUCUCACAACUCUAGGUAACCACUAAUCUACUCUCCAUCUCUAUAGAUUUGCCCAUGCUAGACAUUUCAUAUAAAUAGAAUCAUACAUGUGGUCUUUUUCACUGAGUAUGUUUUCAAGGUGCAUCCCAGCUGUGGCGUGAAUCAGCAUCUCAUUCCUUUUUAUUGCCAAAUAAUAUUCUAUCAUAUGGAUAUGUCACAUUUUAUGUAUCCAUUCAUCAGCUGAUGGACAUUUGGGUUGAUUCUACUUUUUGGCUACUAUGAAUAAUGCUACUGUGAACUUUUGUGUACAAAUCUUAUGUGGACAUGUUUUCAUUUCUCUUGGAUGUAUAUUCCUAGGAGAAUGGCUGGAUCAUAUGGUAACUUUUUCCUCAUAACUUUGCAUAUCAAAAUUAUAUCCAUCUUUUUAGAACCCAAAUUCAGUGUUAUUUCCAAAGUGUUCGAACAUCUCCCACUCAAAAUGAAUCUUCUCCCUAGUACUCCCAUUGUUUAGUACCUAAUUGUUAUUACCAGUUUGUCUUAGAGCUCAGUGAUUCAUACAUAGCACUUUUCUUCAUUAUACUGCUAAUUUCAUUACACUGUAAGAAUGGGGACAAGCUGUCACUCUUGUAUACCACAAAGCAGUGAGUGCACUGCUGUGAAGAAAGCAGGAACUCAAAGUUAAGAAUUUUGAAUGCUUGAGCCUGUAAAAUGUGUCUAAUUAAUAAUAAUGUUCAUUUUCAAAUUUCAACAAUUAAAUGUUUAACAAAUAACAAUUGAAAUAAAUGUUAGAAAAACCAA